GACGAACGCUGGCGGCGUGCCUAAUACAUGCAAGUAGAACGCUGAAGGAGGAGCUUGCUCUUCUGGAUGAGUUGCGAACGGGUGAGUAACGCGUAGGUAACCUGCCUGGUAGCGGGGGAUAACUAUUGGAAACGAUAGCUAAUACCGCAUAACAGUAGAUGUUGCAUGACAUUUACUUAAAAGGUGCAAUUGCAUCACUACCAGAUGGACCUGCGUUGUAUUAGCUAGUUGGUGGGGUAACGGCUCACCAAGGCGACGAUACAUAGCCGACCUGAGAGGGUGAUCGGCCACACUGGGACUGGGACACGGCCCAGACUCCUACGGGAGGCAGCAGUAGGGAAUCUUCGGCAAUGGACGGAAGUCUGACCGAGCAACGCCGCGUGAGUGAAGAAGGUUUUCGGAUCGUAAAGCUCUGUUAUAAGAGAAGAACGAGUGUGAGAGUGGAAAGUUCACACUGUGACGGUAUCUUACCAGAAAGGGACGGCUAACUACGUG
rnacentral:rRNA from 1 species